rnacentral:tRNA from 2 species
AUUUAUAUAGUUUAUUUAAAACAUUUUAUUUUCAAUAAAAAAAUAUAUAUUAUAUUAUAAAUA